rnacentral:rRNA from 1 species
UACGUAGGGGGCAAGCGUUGUCCGGAAUCAUUGGGCGUAAAGCGCGCGUAGGCGGCCCGAUAAGUCUGCUGUAAAAGUCAACGGCUCAACCGUUGAAAGCCGGUGGAUACUGUCGGGCUAGAGUCCGGAAGAGGCAAGGUGGAAUUCCUGGUGUAGCGGUGGAAUGCGCAGAUAUCAGGAGGAACACCUAUAGCGAAGGCAGCUUGCUGGGACGGUACUGACGCUAAGGCGCGAAAGCGUGGGGAGCGAACAGG